UAUAAUAGUUUUGUUUGUGGAAACACCACGUAAAUUUAUUACUGCAAUUACUGCAAGUAAUAAAUUUACGUGGUGUUUCCACAAACAAAACUAUUAUAAAAAUAAU